rnacentral:rRNA from 1 species
GACGAACGCUGGCGGCGUGCUUAACACAUGCAAGUCGAACGAUGAAGCCGGAGCUUGCUCUGGUGAAUUAGUGGCGAACGGGUGAGUAACACGUGAGUAACCUGCCCUUGACUCUGGGAUAACUGCUAGAAAUGGUAGCUAAUACCGGAUACGACCCUCGGAGGCAUCUCCAGGGGGUGGAAAGAAUUUCGGUCAAGGAUGGACUCGCGGCCUAUCAGCUAGUUGGUGAGGUAACGGCUCACCAAGGCGACGACGGGUAGCCGGCCUGAGAGGGUGACCGGCCACACUGGGACUGAGACACUGCCCAGACUCCUACGGGAGGCAGCAGUGGGGAAUAUUGCACAAUGGGCGCAAGCCUGAUGCAGCAACGCCGCGUGAGGGAUGACGGCCUUCGGGUUGUAAACCUCUUUUAGUAGGGAAGAAGCGAAAGUGACGGUACCUGCAGAAAAAGCACCGGCUAACUACGUGCCAGCAGCCGCCGUAACAC